rnacentral:rRNA from 1 species
GAUGAACGCUGGCGGCGUGCCUAAUACAUGCAAGUCGAGCGAACAGACGAGGAGCUUGCUCCUCUGACGUUAGCGGCGGACGGGUGAGUAACACGUGGAUAACCUACCUAUAAGACUGGGAUAACUUCGGGAAACCGGAGCUAAUACCGGAUAAUAUAUUGAACCGCAUGGUUCAAUAGUGAAAGACGGUUUUGCUGUCACUUAUAGAUGGAUCCGCUCCGCAUUAGCUAGUUGGUAAGGUAACGGCCUACCAAGGCAACGAUGCGUAGCCGACCUGAGAGGGUGAUCGGCCACACUGGAACUGAGACACGGUCCAGACUCCUACGGGAGGCAGCAGUGGGGAAUCUUCCGCAAUGGGCGAAAGCCUGACGGAGCAACGCCGCGUGGGUGAGGAAGGUCUUCGGAUCGUAAAACUCUGUUAUUAGGGAAGAACAAAUGUGUAAGUAACUAUGCACGUCUUGACGGUACCUAAUCAGAAAGCCACGGCUAACUACGUG